rnacentral:rRNA from 1 species
CCAAAAGCUGGCGACCGGCGCACGGGUGAGUAACACGUAUCCAACCUGCCUCAUACUCGGGGAUAGCCUUUCGAAAGAAAGAUUAAUAUCCGAUAGCAUAUAUUUCCCGCAUGGGUUUUAUAUUAAAGAAAUUCGGUAUGAGAUGGGGAUGCGUUCCAUUAGUUUGUUGGGGGGUAACGGCCCACCAAGACUACGAUGGAUAGGGGUUCUGAGAGGAAGGUCCCCCACAUUGGAACUGAGACACGGCCCAA